CCCGUCGGUUCUGAGCGUUGUAAUUUGGGUCUACCACGUUAUUGGCUCGGCGCCUAGAAGUGAACAUGUUUUCUGUACGCGAUUGGUUUUGGCAACUCUGAUUUGAAACAGUCUGUUCGUUAGUAGCACCACGGAACUUUAAUCUGUCUCUAUAUAUUCAUUAACGUCACGUGUUACAAUGUCCAAUUUCCAAAAGAAAUAUAAAACGCCGGCUGCAAGUUUUGGGGAUCCAGCUGCAGCUCGAGUCAUACGCGUUGAAAAGCAGCAAACGGCACGUAAAAGUGAUAUAGGACUGCGACUUUGACUAGAAACAAAAACGUGACGAUUAUUUCAGAUCUUCCAGAUAAAUAGGCUUCCAGUAUAUAAAAUAUUAAAUCUGCAAGUGACAUAGGUUGCAAUCUGCUCAAUUCACUGCUGAAUUCAUGUACAAAAAUUGCACUUCAUCCAGCAAGUUGUAAAUGAUAAAGUAGUUUAAUACCUGUGGAAGGAGAUCAUAUGAGUAGGCUAUUUAAAUAGAAAGCAAGAUGUGAUAAAGGAGAAAAGAUAGAACAGAUGAACCAAAAGAAAUGAUUUUGUGGUGCAUGGAGUUAUUGAACACAUAUUUCCUUUACCAAUCAAUAUUGUUGGAAAAUAGCCAUUUGUGCAGAAGAUAUUCUCAUUAAACAGGCUCACAAAAGCAACAGAAAAGAGACUGUUGCAUAAACAACAAAUAGAAAUGUUCAAAAAUGACAAAAAAUUGCUUGAGAACAUAUAUAAUAAUAGUACUAAUAAUAACUUCAAGUCUUUAAAAGAGCCAAGUCAAGAACUAUUAUUUAGAAAAACUGACACAACAUUUGACGACUUUUCUCAGAAGAAUAGUAAUAGUAGUAUUGUAGAAACUCAUAAUAAUGAUACUUUACUCAAGUCACUACAUGAUGAUUUAUUUAAUGAGCUAGCUUUCUUUCCAGGAUAUGUAGUAUUUAGUCGUGGAAAAAGGAAUGCUAGAAAUGAAGAGCAAAUGAAACGUAGUUUCAAUCUUAACAUCAUCAAGAAUCUUAAUAUCUGUGCAGUAUUUCACUUUCUUCUAAGUAGAGAAAUAGAUAGGCUAAAUGAAUUGUGUGACAAAUGCACAGCAAUAAAAGAAGAAAUAGAUAUUACAGAAGAUGGACAAUAUCAUAUUCAUCAAGCUAUUGGACAAACGACUUUGUUGAUAAGUAAAAAGUACGAAAGAUUUCAUGGUUUAGUUGCCGAUUGUGAAACAGAGAAAGUAGCAAUGUUGGUUACAUGUAUUAGGUAUGUUUCUGUUCUGAGUGAAAGACGCAGCUCUACCACUUUUACGUGCCUUCCGCUGCUUUUAAGCGCGAAUAACUCGAACCGUUGCUGGAUCCCCGAAACCUGCAGCCGACGUUUUAUAUUUCUUUUGAAAAUUGGACAUUGUAACACGUGAUGUUAAUAAAUAUGUAGUAACAGAUUGAA